GCAGAACAUGCAGGGAUACUAGAGAUGCUACUCGAAAGCGUGAUGCAGUGGGAGAUUAUAGAACGAGUGGGAAAAAGCCUGCACAGAAAUGAAACAAGCUCAGACAACUGCCUAGGCCGACAGGGAAAAGAAAUUCCCGGACGAAAUUGCUGUCCAGGCGUGCACGGAUACCUUCCUCACCGAAGAGUCGGAGACACUAGCUAACUCAUCCUCCGACAUAGUAGAACUCCAGCCAACUCUCGACAUGGACUGCUUCUCUGGAAUCUUAGUGGAACUGUCCGAUCCUGUCAACUUUCUAGACAGAGACUGUCAGCCCAAACUAUCAACCAACCAAGGAACCGAAGCGUGGAUAAGGACUGACCAGGUGGGUACAUGUCUAGACGACAAGAAAGAAUGAUACAAGCCACACCUGAAGAGCAUUCGGCUCAUCCUUGGCAUAUGGAGCUUCAGCAAUACUAAAGUUAUAUUUUGGUGUCCUUUGAGAUUCCAAAAAAAUCCAAACUUAGCAUGUAAUGCAUAAUUAUCAUUAUCUGAAUAAUCUCUUCAAAGAA